AAGGAUCAUUACAGAAAGUAAACGCGGAUCAAACCGCGAACUUCUAAACCUUUGACGAUUGACUCAUGUUGCCUCGGCGGGUUCUCCCGCCAGAGGAUAAGAUCAAAACUCCUGUUUUAACGGUGUUGUCUGAGCUACAAGCAACGAAUCAAAUCUUUCUACAACGGAUCUCUUGGUUCUGGCAUCGAUGAAGAACGCUGCGAAAUGCGAUAAGUAGUGUGAAUUGCAGAAUUCACUGAGUCAUCUAAUCUUUGAGCGCACAUUGCGCCCCUUGGUAUCCCGAGGGGCAUGCCUGUUCGAGCGUCAUUUCACCACUCAAGCCUGGCUUGGUGUUGGGCGACGUCCCCUUUGGGGACGCGCCUCGAAACGCUCGGCGGCGUGGCACCGGCUUUAAGCGUAACAAAAUCUUUCGCUUUGGAAGUCGGGGCCCCGUCUGCCGGAAGACCUACUCGCAAGGUUGACCUCGGAUCACGCAGGGAUACCCGCUGAACUUAA
rnacentral:rRNA from 1 species